rfam:Neurospora crassa OR74A linkage group III, whole genome shotgun sequence.
GGCGUGGUGGCGGAGUGGUCUAACGCGCAAGACUAGAAAUCUUGUUCCUUCGGGAGCGUCUGUUCGAAUCAGGCCCACGUCG